ACAACGCAACCUGAAGAUGAUGUUGUCUGCCUAUUUGACACUCCAUGUUUCGAAAUGCCUCAAAACAUAAAGCAUUAAAGGACAAAAAAGAUGUUCAGUGCAAAAUUUGAUUAUAGUCUUCAAUGAUUAUGAUGUAACAUGGAAAUAUCUAAAACUGAACGUUUUAAUAUGUCUAUCAUCUGGGGCCAGUUUCACUAAAAGGCGUACGUCCGGCGUAACCUUACGCCUGGCUUAAGUCUGGACUUAUGUCAAAUAUUUGGACUAAGGUCCACUAGAUUAGGAGAUGAAACGAUAAAACGGUUAGUCACAGGGUUUUAAACUAGCUCGUUGCGCAAUCUAAUUUCGAAACAUGUGAAAUCAAGUUUCUUCAAGUUUGGUUGAAUACAAGAAAAUGGCAGGAUCGAAAAGGAUGUUUGAAGGAAGAAUCAUAAUAAAGGAAUUUGUGGAUAUGACUCAACACUACAAAUUCCAAUGGAUUGUGCAUAUCGUGUUUGAAACAGUUUUGUACAUAAAUGGAACGGUUUUAAGUGAUAUUUUAUGUUUUAAUGAUGGUUAAGAUAA